CAAAAUAUUUAACAUAAAAGGUCCAAUGUGUGGGAAUUUAUGCCAUCUAGCUUUGAGAUCAUAUAUCAUAAUCAACUCUCUCGCGCCACGCAGUUCAAAUUACAUGUUACAGCUACGGAGGCCUUCACACUUCAAAAAGCUCUUUUCAAUAUCCUUUUCCUUUUUCUGAGCAAAAUAGAAGACCAUUCCUGAAAUUGGGAUUUUGAAUGUGUGUGGUCCUCAAUGUUUACUUCUCUAAACUUGCCGGGGCCAAGAAGCAACAAUACCAAUUAGCAGCAUUAGCAGCACCUGUGAGUUUAUAAUGUGACAGCAAAAAUGUGAAAGGCUGAGCAGUAUAUCCUGUAUGUCCUUUACGUGCUGACGUAUUUCAAGAUGCCGCAUGAAUAUAAAGCGUUUACCCCAGUUCAUGCGAAUAGAAAUGUAAAAUUUCUAGCCAAUAGGAAUACUUGGAAAUGAUGGUGGUAGUAAAUAUUCAUGAAAAAGGACAAGUUGGGAAUGGGCAACACAGAUUUUGAUAAUAAACAACUAAAAACGUUACA